UGGUGGAGCGAUUUGUCUGGUUAAUUCCGAUAACGAACGAGACUCUGGCCUAUUAAAAUAGUUCGCCGAUUCCGAUCUGUCGGCGUUAACUUCUUAGAGGGACAAGUGGCUUUUAGCCACGCGAGAUUGAGCAAUAACA
rnacentral:rRNA from 1 species